GAUUACAAACCCUCUCUGUAAUCGCGGCUG
rnacentral:ncRNA from 1 species